rnacentral:lncRNA from 1 species
AACCACGAUUUCCAACUAAUGUGGACUUCAACAAUCGUAGCAGUGCACAUCAACCAACUUGUCCUCUGUAUAUAAAUCAUACUGAAUCAAUAAGACUGGAUAGUGAGCUCAGGCGCUGGAUUGGCGUUGAUCCUGAAGAAGCGGACAAUGUCAGUGGAACGAAGAGUAUUGAAAAACCUUCCGGUUUUAAGAAUCUUCUGAGUCAGCUUAUGCUACCGUACCUCCCAACGAAAUUUACCCCACCAGUUCCAAGACAAAAAUUAAAAUUCAAAAAUAAUAGAAUAGUCAACUCCCGUAUGAACCACGCUAUAGAUAUAUAUAGUGGUGAACACAUUCCAAACACAAACGAACCAUUACUAGAAGCACUUAAUCGACGCGAUGAUACAUUCUAUGUUGUUUCAUUCUCGGUGAUCACUACUGUUUCCUGCUCUAGCUCUUAACAAAACCGCUCGACCUAAAAUGUCUUUAGUGUUUCCUGCUCUUUCUACCAAUGAUUCUACAACCAACGAACUAGUCACAAUGAUGCAAUAGAUUGUGCCGUAACAGACACUAAAGUACUCCAGUUUAGGGAAGCAGUCAUCCCAUUGCAUUUGCGCAAAGCCAAUAAUGUCUCAGGAUCCAACAGUCAACCAGGUAAGAGCCGUUCUGUCCAUAAUGAUGUCAAAACCUGUCAUUCUAGGUCAGUGCAACAGAAAAUUUUCUUAAAAUUUCUUUUAAUAGAUGC